rnacentral:rRNA from 1 species
UACGGGGGGGGCAAGCGUUGUUCGGAAUUACUGGGCGUAAAGGGCUCGUAGGCGGCCAACUAAGUCAUACGUGAAAUCCCUCAGCUUAACUGGGGAACUGCGUCUGAUACUGGAUGGCUUGGAUUUGGGAGAGGGAUGCGGAAUUCCAGGUGUAGCGGUGAAAUGCGUAGAUAUCUGGAGGAACACCGGUGGCGAAGGCGGCAUCCUGGACCAACAUUGACGCUGAGGAGCGAAAGCCAGGGGAGCAAACGGG